GUAGGGAAUAUUGCUUAAUGGGCGAAAGCCUGAAGCAGCAACGCCGCGUGUGCGAUGAAGGCCUUCGGGUUGUAAAGCACUUUUUGAGGGGAUGAGGAAGGACAGUACCCUCAGAAUAAGUCUCGGCUAACUACGUGCCAGCAGCCGCGGUAAAACGUAGGAGGCGAGCGUUAUCCGGAUUUACUGGGCGUAAAGCGCGUGCAGGCGGCUCGAAAAGUUGGAUGUGAAAGCUCCUGGCUUAACUGGGAGAGGUCGUUCAAUACUUUCGGGCUUGAGGAUGGGAGAGGGAGGUGGAAUUCCGGGUGUAGUGGUGAAAUGCGUAGAUAUCCGGAGGAACACCAGUGGCGAAGGCGGCCUCCUGGCCCAUUUCUGACGCUCAGACGCGAAAGCUAGGGUAGCAAACGGGAUUAGAUACCCCAGUAGUCC
rnacentral:rRNA from 1 species